rnacentral:tRNA from 1 species
GGGAUUGUAGUUCAAUUGGAAAGAGCACCGCCCUGUCAAGGCGGAAGCUGCGGGUUCGAGCCUCGUCAGUCCCG